GUGCUUGCUUUGGCAGCUCAUAUACUAAAAUUGAAAUGAUACAGAGAAGAUUAGCAUGGCUCCUGCGCAGGGAUGACAUGGAAAUUUGUGAAGCAUUUCAUAUUUAA